AACGAACGUUAGCGGCGCGCUUAACACAUGCAAGUCGCACGAGAAAGGGAGCAAUCCCCGGUACAGUGGCGCACGGGUGAGUAACACGUAGGUAAUCUUCCCUCGAGUGGUGGAUAACCUUCCGAAAGGGAGGCUAAUACAGCAUAAGACCACGGGAGCGAAAGCUUCUGAGGUCAAAGCCGGCCUCUAUAUAUAAGCUGGCGCUUGGGGAUGAGCCUGCGGCCCAUCAGGUAGUUGGUAGGGUAAUGGCCUACCAAGCCUAAGACGGGUAGCUGGUCUGAGAGGAUGAUCAGCCACACUGGAACUGAGACACGGUCCAGACUCCUACGGGAGGCAGCAGUGGGGAAUCUUGCGCAAUGGGCGAAAGCCUGACGCAGCGACGCCGCGUGAGUGAUGAAGGCCUCGGUUGUAAGACGUCUGUGGGAGGAGACGAAUAAGACUGUGGCGUAAUAUCCACGGUGAUGACGGUAUCUCCUUAGCAAGCACCGG
rnacentral:rRNA from 1 species